rfam:Methanosalsum zhilinae DSM 4017, complete genome.
GGGCCUGUAGUGUAGUGGACAGCACAUAAGCCUCCGGAGCUUAUAUCCUGGGUUCAAAUCCCAGCAGGCCCG